ACAUUUCUUACUUCAACAAUGAAUUCCAAGUUAAAAAUAUAAGAAUUAUUAUUAUUAUUAUUAUUAUUUUGUUGGCGUAAAAUACUUUCAUACAAGAAACCAGUCAUAUAAAAAUUCGAUUAUUUUGUUAAUUUGUUCUAAUGGAGGGAGAAAAAAAAAAAAAAAAACCCAAGUUCCUCAAAGAUCAAUUAUUAAAAAUUUUGAAUGUAAAUACUAGAGAGCCUAUAUAAUAAGGUAACCAAAUUUAAUACACUUUUUUAUAUGGAUAUAUAUUUUUUAAUAUACUUCGAAUAAUAAUACAAAAACAAAAUUGAAAUUGAAAAAAGAGAAAAUUAUUAAAAUAUGAAUUAUUAUUAUAAAACUCAAUUUUACUACUUUCAUGAUCAUUAAUAAAUUGGAAAAUGAAUGUUCUUUCAAAUGGAUCAUCAUGGUUUAUCCACAUCAACAAAAGUCUAGUAUUCUAAAAAAAUAAUAUUAAAGAUAUUUAUUUAUAUGUGACAAGAAAAGAUAAUUUAUUUAUACAUCCGUUCCAUUUUUGUUUGGAAAAGAAACCAAAAUUUUAUAAAAAAACUAAACCAAACAAGAGACAUCCUUUUGUAAUGUAGGAAGUGGAACAUCUGUUCCAUUUCUAAUAUUAUUUUAUCCCUGAUAAUGAAAGAACUAUGCUUUUCCAUCAAAAUUCUACCUCAUUUUUUAAAAAAAAAAAAAAAAAAAAUUGCUUUGCUUUGCUUUGAUUUUUAACUUUUUUAUGUCGGUGGAAACUAGAAUCAAGUUGAAUAUUAGCAAAAAUAUAAUUGUUUUCGUGUUAUUUUUGCUAAAGCAAGUUUUACUUCACAAAUUAAUUCAAGAGUGGAAUUAAUUAAGCUCAAAAUCCCAACCGUACUCCUUCAUUUAUAGAAUAUAUUUCCCCACCCUGUAAAAUAUCUUCCCCCCUGUUCCUAAACGAGAAAAGCUAACUCUUUGCAGUCACAAUUUUGUGUCCAAGUUUCGUACUUUUUAAAAAUUUUUUAUUGAAAAAAAGCCAAUUAAUAAUUGAGAUUAAGGUUGAGAAUGUAAAUAAUAAUACAAAAAGUUACCAAAGCGUGUACAAAUCAAAUAUAUACUGUAUAAAAAACUUGUUACGAGGAGUGAGAUUUACAAAGACUAAAGAGUACUUUAAUAGUUUAAUUCAAUCAAAUCAAGUAAAAGUUCCACCGCCUAAAGUUUUGCUUUUUCUUUUGUGCUAUGGGAUUUGGAUUCUUGGGUGGGAAUCAAUUUGGUACCUGAAUUCUGAGCUUUUUAAUACAUCUAUUUGAAGGUUAUGGACGUGGUUUGGCAUCCGCGAUAAACUGUUCAUUCUACUGGUACUUAUAUUCUUUUGCUUUUUGUCUCUUUGGUUAAAAUACUGUGAAGCACAUGGGAUGGCAUGCAUUUUUCCUCUUGUGGUAAUUGGUAUGGCGAAACUAGGCUGCUGGAGCAUUAUCUCUGUCAGUUUCUCAACUUUCUGCUUCUUUAUUUCAAUGGGUUUUGGAUAAUUUAUUUAUACACCUUGUUAAUGUCUGAAAAUUGAGGGUGCUUUUAGAGUUAUUGACCUGUAGAGUGCAAAAAAUUACCCAAAUGUUGAAAAAGUAAAGGCUAAAGGGAAACUGUAAAAUUUUAUUUUAGGGAGGACAAUGUGGAAAAAAAGAAUUUAAAAUUUUUUAUAUUCGAGUCCCUUAUGGAGGCGGAUUUUAGUUUCACAUGCACCGUAAUGCUGCAUGUAGAACAUGGAAUAGGGAUCCGUUGAUGAUGAUCUGCUUGAUCUGGACUUGGGUUUUGGCACUAUCAUGAUCUGCAACUCCAGCUUUGGGAGUUUGUUUCACUUUGAGUUGCAUUAGUGGUUGUCACAACAAGGUCAUUUAGUCUUAGUCGAUUCUAGGACAAAUACCUUUGUUUUUCUUUAAGCUGUACAAGUAUUCAAACUUGUAAGGACUUAGCUUAGAGAACUUUGUUUCUGGUUUCGGUUUUUUCUAUAGUUAAGUUUUAUGCAUCUUCCUUUGUCAUGCAUGGUUUAAUCUGUAUGUAUUCCAGUUUAUAAGGACUAAGCUUAGAGAACUUUGUUUCUGCUUCUGAUAUUUUCUGUAAUUAAGGUUUAUGCAUCUUCUUUUGUCAUGCAUAGUUUAAUCCUACUUGGUGGCUCUGCAUACGGAGAAUUAAAACUGAAGAAAUCAAGUGAUAUAACUUGUUUAAAAUAUUUAAACUUGACGUAUCAAUAUUCUGGAUUACUAUCCUGUGCUAACUGCUCUUUUUCAUGAUUGUUAUCUUUUGCUGAUAGUGGAGUCCCACUGCACCUGUUCUAUUCUCCAUGUUGGACCAACUAUUUGCUGCUGCUCUGUUUUUGGAUUCCUUAUUACCAGGAAGUUGUGUUGCCUAUUGAUUAUGUUUUUUUUAUUACGAAGGAGUUUCCAUUCCCAGUUCAACGGACUUUGCGUCAAUACCAUUUCUUUACUCAUCCCUUUCUAAUUUAGAUUCUUUAAUAUUGCUUGCUUAGUAUGUAACCAUCAUGGUCUGCAAUUCUCCAGAAGUUAAGCACACAUAAAAAUCAUCAUGGACAGAUGUUUCUAGAAAUGUUCUUUGACUAUCUGUUUUUUCUGUUUGUCUCUCUUAUCCUAUCCCUGUUUACUUAGUAUGGUUUUUUGUCUUUUGCUUUUGUGCUUUGAAAACCAGAGAUGCAUUCAGGAAACAGUUUAAAACAAGUUGUGUUUGUUUCUCCUGCCAGUAAAGAAGAAGAAAAGGAUACAGUAUUGCUGCAUCGGUCACAAUUACUCUAACAAAGGCCAUUGCAACGGAUGUAGAAGUGCCUGUUAGCAAAACUUUCAAAACUUUUUGAAAUAUUGAUUCCUUGGUUAUUUGAACUUAUACUCCUGUUGGGAGAAUCUCUGAGAAGCAUUGAUAUUUUCAAAAGCAACUAGUUAAGGAUUUAGAGGCUUAUUGUAUCUCUGAACUAUGCUAGUAAAUGGUAAAUCAUGUUCUCUUUUAAUGCUACUGCUUGGAUUUCACCGUUGACCUCCUUCAAAGAAAGUUGAUGUAACAACAUUAUUGUUUCGGUGGUUUGUAAUUUUAUUUCACUAGAUGCAUGAUUUAAUGGAUAAGAUGUUUAAAAAUUAUUUGAUUAAA